UGUAGCAGUCGUGUCGUGUGUGCUGAGCUCAUUUUGCUGCCGAUGACUAAGAAGAUGCCGUAGAAGGCGAAUUGCGAAGACGUCCGAAGGAAACUGUCGUUCAGUAACCAGUGAUUUUGCUUCACCGAGGUGACGAGUUCAACACAACGUCUUAGGGGCCUUCCAGUGUUGAAGUGGCGCAAAACUGUUUCGUGUGUGUGUGUGAUCCAGGCACUGACAUGACAGAAAUAGCUGAAAACAGGUGCAGAACAUUCGUAUGACGUCAACAAGGGGAGAAGAAACUGGUGAGAACUA